AAAUUUUCCCACUUUACUUCACUCACUCUCUCGCCCUUCCCCGAAGCCCUAUCCCUCUCCUCCCACUUUCCUUUAUGUUCAGCACCCAACCUCCUCCUCCAUCUCCGAACCGAACCGUCCUCUUCUUCCUUCUCCGCCUCCGACCAGAACCCAACCUUUCUCCGGCUCUUCCCCCAAACCCUAUCGCUCUCUCUCCCCCGUCCUAAUCAAACCAAAACCUCAAAGCCCCAGAAAACGAAUUCACAGAGAUCGCUUUGUGGCUCAUCUCCGAGGUGCAACCUGGCGUUGACUCAUCAGAGGAAGGCGAAGAAUAUGGUGGCCACAGUGAGCCCACCCCGGUGGUCGGAGAUCGGUGACGGAGGAGAGAGUCCUCCAGAUCCACUUUCUCUAUCCUCCCUCUCUCUUUCAGAGAAAGAUUGAAAGGAUUGAUUUUGAAUCAAAGAUUUAGGAAUGGCUUCGAGAGUCGUUGAUCAACAACAAGCCAGAGAGAAUUCAUCCGGGUCUGUGGGAUUUUUGUGGUUGCAUUUUGCAAAAGACAAUGAUGGGUAGGAUGAUAUUGAAUAAUGCAUUGAGAGCAAUAGUGAAUGUAGAGAAAAGGCAGAAAGCUACGGUGGAGUUGCAACCUAUCUCCACAGUCAUGUCAUCUUUUCUCAAAAUUAUGAAAAAUCGAGGAUAUAUUAAGGAUUUUGAAGUUUUUGAGCCACAUAGAGUGGGGAAAAUUACAGUUCAACUACAAGGCAGGGUUUAUGAUUGUCGAGCUCUUACUUACAGGCAAGACGUCAAGGCAAGAGAUAUUGAAGAGUAUAAAAAGCGUAAGCUUCCAACGCACCAGGUUCAUUGACAGCUACACCAAGGACUGGAAACUCAAGUUACAAGUAUUUUUAUCUUAUAACAAACUGCUAUUUUUUUCCUUUUUCGUUUUACUGUAUCUACAAACCGUUUUUGUCUUCAUAUGGUUUAUUUAGAAGACUUCAAUCUUGUUCUUUUCUUUUGCUGUUGUAUAUGGAGAAGUUUAGGCCAUACGUCCCCUUCUCCCUACUCUUUGUACUCUUUUUAUCAAUAGUAUUAAUGAGAAUUUUCUUUUGCUUACCA